AAAAAAUAUUGGGUCGUUGCUGUGUCCAAAAUAUGUUGGUUCCCCUAGUAUGUCAUGACUUUGAAACGACUUCUGUUGUCACUCGAAAAGGGAAACAAAAAGUUUGGAAGAAGCGACAACCAGACCAUGAAGUGAUUAGCGACGUGUUGCCGUAAAUCAACAAUCACAAGCUCAUUUCGCAUUCAAGGAAUACACUGAGAUUGGAAACUUCUUUCAUAUGGACGAGCAACGAGAAACAUCAAAGAGUCCACAAGGAGACAGCGAUACCCCGAAUGCGGACAGAGUGUUCAGGCAGCUAGGCUUUUUGGAAUGGUUUACAAUGAGGCAUAAUUCCAAACACACCGGGAACCAAACGACCGAGGGAACUUCCAACCCAAAGUCUUCACCUAAUGGUGAGGUCCGUCCUGAUAGUAAAAACAUCGAAGCCGUCCCAAACCUGCCCGAUUCUUAAACGUUUAAUGUGUACUACAAACAUACCAGUUUAAUUAUGUCAUAAGAUGAAUAAAUGUUAAAAUCCCCAA